UCAUCCUCGCGGUUAGCGCGGCUGUGCGGGCGGAGAGCUGUCGAUCCCAGUGGUUAAUGCCAAAGCCCUGUUGCCUGGGGAGAGGGUGAUGUUUGACUUUCUUGUACAGCUGCAGUUUGUGUGGUGAAGGUGCUCCCACAAUGUGGUUGGGAUGAGGCUAUCACUGGCUCGGCCAGCAUUUAUUGCUGCGUUUACCCAGAGGGCAGUUAAGAGUCAACCACGUUGCUAUAGGUCUGGAGUCCCAUGCAGACCAGACCAGAUCCCAGUGAUCAGUGCCAAAGCCCCAUUGCCUGUGGAGAGGGUGAUGUUUGAUUUCCCUGUCCAGCUGCAGUUCAUGUGGUGAAGGUGCUCCCACAAUGUGGUUGGGUGGACAUUCAGAUGGUAAUCUCAGUAAUUGUAACGCCAAACUGUGACAAAAUUACUCAAUUCAUCAGGAGCUGGAU